GAUGAAGAACGUAGCGAAAUGCGAUAAGUAAUGUGAAUUGCAGAAUUCAGUGAAUCAUCGAAUCUUUGAACGCACAUUGCGCCCGCCAGUAUUCUGGCGGGCAUGCCUGUUCGAGCGUCAUUUCAACCCUCAAGCCCAGCUUGGUGUUGGGGAUCGGCACAGGCGCCCUCGGGCGCCCGCCGUCCCCUAAAUCUAGUGGCGGUCCCGCUGCAGCCUCCUCUGCGUAGUAGUUUUCUCCUCGCAAGGGCAGCUCGGUGGCGACCUCGCCGUAAAACCCCCAACUUCUGAAAGGUUGACCUCGAAUCAGGUAGGAAUACCCGCUGAACUUAAGCAUAUCAAUAAGGGAGGA
rnacentral:misc_RNA from 1 species